rnacentral:lncRNA from 1 species
AAAACAACGGAUCACACACAACAUAAACCAAACUCCUUCUAUCUUUCUCUCGAACCUCUGAUCUCCGUUUCAAACUCAGUCACACAACAGAUCACAUAUAAACCCUAAUCAAUUUUCCAUUUUCUAAAGAAAUCAAACAAAAAUGGGAGAUUAUCACCAAAGAAUAUCGGAAUAAAGCUCUCUUAUUUCAUCGAUUAAAUUAUUGUUACAAUGUAAUACGAACUUUAAGAUUAAGUUUACUAAGCGGCAAACGAACAUGACGUUAGCAAGUGCAGUCAUUUGUUGGUAUAGUCGCGCCUACUUUAACAGUGUCCCUCGUUGUAUUAUUUGAAUUUUUUUAUAGACGAAAUGACAAAGCUAUUGAAAACUCACACACAAAGUGAGUGACCGUGGUUCGAAUCCCGAUCCUGAUAUCCGACACUAGCAAUUUCGACAUUUCUGCCUGUUAAACUAGAAUUUGUGGACAAAUUUUUUAUUAUUAAUGAAAUGAACCGACUGUGUAAAUUUAAAAAAAUGAUAAGUUAAUUUUAAUUUUAAUUUACUGUCAAAAAUAAAAUAAAAUUAUUUUUACAUUGAUACAUCAACAAAAAAAACAACAGAUCACACACAAACAACAGAAACCAAACUCCUUCUAUCUUUCUCUCGAACCUCUGAUCUCCGUUUCAAACUCAGUCACACAACAGAUCACAUAUAAACCCUAAUCAGUUUUCCAUUUUCUAAAGAAGAAAUCAAACAAAAAUGGGAGAUUAUCACUUCAUAUACAAAGAUCUAGAAGGAGCAUCAACUCAAUGGG